UACGAAGGGGGCUAGCGUUGUUCGGAAUUACUGGGCGUAAAGCGCACGUAGGCGGUCAUUUAAGUCAGGGGUGAAAUCCCGGGGCUCAACCCCGGAACGGCCUUUGAUACUGGGUGUCUUGAGUUCGGAAGAGGUGAGUGGAAUUGCGAGUGUAGAGGUGAAAUUCGUAGAUAUUCGCAGGAACACCAGUGGCGAAGGCGGCUCACUGGUCCGAUACUGACGCUGAGGUGCGAAAGCGUGGGGAGCAAACAGG
rnacentral:rRNA from 1 species